rnacentral:rRNA from 1 species
GUAGGGUGCGAGCGUUGUCCGGAAUUAUUGGGCGUAAAGGGCUCGUAGGCGGUUUGUCGCGUCGGGAGUGAAAACGCCGUGCUUAACACGGCGCUUGCUUUCGAUACGGGCAGACUAGAGGUAUGCAGGGGAGAACGGAAUUCCUGGUGUAGCGGUGAAAUGCGCAGAUAUCAGGAGGAACACCGGUGGCGAAGGCGGUUCUCUGGGCAUUACCUGACGCUGAGGAGCGAAAGUGUGGGGAGCGAACAGGAUUAGAUACCCUGGUAGUCCACACCGUAAACGUUGGGCGCUAGGUGUGGGGUCCAUUCCACGGAUUCCGUGCCGCAGCUAACGCAUUAAGCGCCCCGCCUGGGGAGUACGGCCGCAAGGCUA